AAGACUAUACUUUCAGGGAUCAUUUCUAUAGUGAUUAACUAGAGAAAUGCGUUUCGAAAGUGUUUGGUCUCGCUAAUCACGAUGAAGAGCGUCGGUGCCUCUUUCUGAGCGCGAAGCGGAUUAAGAACCGUGAUUUUAUCAUGUGUUCUUGGUUAUUGAUGACCGUUCCGUUCUGCUUCGGUAGAAUCGGAGGGAAGAGGUGCGUUCUGAGUGAU